GGAGGUGUUUGUUUAGCUCAGUGGUAGAGUGCAUGCAUGCUUUGUAUGUAUGAUGUCCUAGGUUCAAUCCCCAGCUGCUCCC